AUUGAACGCUGGCGGCAGGCCUAACACAUGCAAGUCGAGCGGAUGAAGGGAGCUUGCUCCUGGAUUCAGCGGCGGACGGGUGAGUAAUGCCUAGGAAUCUGCCUGGUAGUGGGGGAUAACGUCCGGAAACGGGCGCUAAUACCGCAUACGUCCUGAGGGAGAAAGUGGGGGAUCUUCGGACCUCACGCUAUCAGAUGAGCCUAGGUCGGAUUAGCUAGUUGGUGGGGUAAAGGCCUACCAAGGCGACGAUCCGUAUCUGGUCUGAGAGGAUGAUCAGUCACACUGGAACUGAGACACGGUCCAGACUCCUACGGGAGGCAGCAGUGGGGAAUAUUGGACAAUGGGCGAAAGCCUGAUCCAGCCAUGCCGCGUGUGUGAAGAAGGUCUUCGGAUUGUAAAGCACUUUAAGUUGGGAGGAAGGGCAGUAAGUUAAUACCUUGCUGUUUUGACGUUACCAACAGAAUAAGCACCGGCUAACUUCGUG
rnacentral:rRNA from 1 species